GACGAACGCUGGCGGCGUGCUUAACACAUGCAAGUCGAGCGGUAAGGCCCUUUCGGGGGUACGACGAGCGGCGAACGGGUGAGUAACACGUGGGUGACCUGCCCUCAGCUCUGGGAUAAGCCUGGGAAACCGGGUCUAAUACCGGAUAUGACUCCAUGACGCAUGUUGUGGGGUGGAAAGCCUUGUGCGGCUGAGGAUGGGCCCGCGGCCUAUCAGCUUGUUGGUGGGGUGAUGGCCCACCAAGGCGACGACGGGUAGCCGGCCUGAGAGGGUGUCCGGCCACACUGGGACUGAGAUACGGCCCAGACUCCUACGGGAGGCAGCAGUAGGGAAUUUUGCGCAAUGGGCGAAAGCCUGACGCAGCGACGCCGCGUGAGGGACGA
rnacentral:rRNA from 1 species